AAAGGGAAACAACCCAGACCACCAGCUAAGGUCCCUAAUUAUAACUAAGUGGGAAAGGAGGUGGAGAUUCACAAACAACUAGGAGGUUGGCUUAGAAGCAGCCAUACCUUUAAAGAGUGCGUAAUAGCUCACUAGUCGAGAGUCUCUGCGCCGACAAUGUAACGGGGCUAAGUUAUAAACCGAAGCUGUGGAAUCCGUAAGGAUUGGUAGGAGAGCGUUCUGUAGGCCGUUGAAGGAGAAGGGUAACCGACUCUGGAGGUAUCAGAAGUGAGAAUGCAGGAAUAAGUAGCGAGAAAGGGGGCGAGAAUCCCCCUCGCCGGAAGACCAAGGUUUUCAGGGUAAAGCUUGUCUUCCCUGAGUAAGCCGGGACCUAAGCCCAGGCUAUAAUGCGUAGGCGAAUGGAAAACAGAUUAAUAUUUCUGUGCCAGUCAUAUAUUGUGAUGGAGGGACGCAGAAGGGUAUGCGCGCGGACGAACGGAAGUGUCCGUAGAAGUAUGUAGGAUGACUUGAUAGGAAAAUCCAUUGAGUUAUAUCUGAGGUAUGAUAUACAGUCGUAAGAUGAAUGCGCAAAUCCCACGCUGCCAAGAAAAGCUUCUAACGUUAAUAUUUGACUGCCCGUACUGCAAACCGACACAGGUGGUCAGGAUGAGAAAUCUAAGGCGGACAGGCUAACUCUCGUUAAGGAACUCUGCAAAAUAACCUCGUAACUUCGGGAGAAGAGGAGCCCUUGAGGGUCAGUAUCCACGCGAUACAAAGCGCUCGAGGGUCGCAGUGAAGAGGCUCAAGCAACUGUUUAACAAAAACACAGGUCUAUGCUAAGCUGGAAGGCGAUGUAUAUGGGCUGACACCUGCCCAGUGCUGGAAGGUUAAGAGGAGGAGUGAGAGCUCCGAAUUGAAGCCCCAGUGAACGGCGGCCGUAACUAUAACGGUCCUAAGGUAGCGAAAUUCCUUGUCGGGUAAGUUCCGACCUGCACGAAUGGUGUAAUGAUUUGAGCGCUGUCUUGACGGGAGGCCUGGUGAAAUUGUAUUACCGGUGAAGAUACCGGUUACCUACAGUAGGACGGAAAGACCCCAUGGAGCUUUACUGUAGCUUGGUAUUGGGUUUUGGCAUUGCAUGUAUAGGAUAGUUGGGAGACUGAGAUGAUAUGGCGCUAGCUGUAUCGGAGUCAUCGGUGGAAUACCAACCAUUCAAUGCUGAAAUUCUAAUCUGUGGUUUGUAGCCACGGAGACAGUGCUAGGUGGGCAGUUUGACUGGGGCGGUCGCCUCCGAAAGAGUAACGGAGGCGUUCAAAGGUUCUCUCAGGUUGGAUGGAAAUCAACCAUAGAGUGCAAUGGCAUAAGAGAGCUUGACUGCAAGACUGACGGGUCGAGCAGAUGCGAAAGCAGGACAUAGUGAUCCGGCGAUUCCGAAUGGAAGGGUCGUCGCUCAACGGAUAAAAGCUACCCUGGGGAUAACAGGCUGAUCCUACCCGAGAGUCCAUAUCGACGGUAGGGUUUGGCACCUCGAUGUCGGCUCAUCGCAUCCUGGGGCUGGAGAAGGUCCCAAGGGUUGGGCUGUUCGCCCAUUAAAGCGGUACGUGAGCUGGGUUCAGAACGUCGUGAGACAGUUCGGUCCCUAUCCACUGUAGGCGUUAGAAUAUUGAGAAGACCUGUCCUUAGUACGAGAGGACCGGGAUGGACAAACCUCUGAUGUACCAGUUGUCACGCCAGUGGCACAGCUGGGUAGUCACGUUUGGAAUAGAUAACCGCUGAAAGCAUCUAAGCGGGAAACUAACUUCAAGAUAAGUAUUCUUUAAGAUACCUUCGAGCCUAGGAGGUUGAUAGGUUGGGGGUGUAAGU
rnacentral:rRNA from 1 species